GAUGAACGCUGGCGGCGUGCUUAAUACAUGCAAGUCGAGCGAACAGACGAGGAGCUUGCUUCUCUGACGUUAGCGGCGGACGGGUGAGUAACACGUGGAUAACCUACCUAUAAGACUGGUAUAACUUCGGGAAACCGGCGCUAAUACCGGAUAAUAUAUUGAACCGCAUGGUUCAAUAGUGAAAGACGGUUUUGCUGUCACUUAUAGAUGGAUCCGCGCCGCAUUAGCUAGUUGGUAAGGUAACGGCUUACCAAGGCAACGAUGCGUAGCCGACCUGAGAGGGUGAUCGGCCACACUGGAACGGAGACACGGUCCAGGCUACUGCGGGAGGCAGCAGUAGGGAAUCUUACGCAGUGGGCGAAAGCAUGACGGAACAACGCCGCGUGAGUGAUGAAGGUCUUCGGAUAGUAAAAAUCUGUUAUGAGGGAAGAACAAAUGUGUAAGGAACUAUGCACAUAUUGACGGUACCUAAUCAGAAAGCCACGGCUAACUACGUG
rnacentral:rRNA from 1 species